GACGAACGCUGGCGGCGUGCUUAACACAUGCCAGUCGAACGGAAAGGCCCUGCUUUUGUGGGGUGCUCGAGUGGCGAACGGGUGAGUAACACAUGAGUAACCUGCCCUUGACUUUGGGAUAACUUCAGGAAACUGGGGCUAAUACCGGAUAGGAGCUCCUGCUGCAUGGUGGGGAUUGGAAAGUUUCGGCGGUUGGGGAUGGACUCGCGGCUUAUCAGCUUGUUGGUGGGGUAGUGGCUUACCAAGGCUUUGACGGGUAGCCGGCCUGAGAGGGUGACCGGCCACAUUGGGACUGAGAUACGGCCCAGACUCCUACGGGAGGCAGCAGUGGGGAAUAUUGCACAAUGGGCGGAAGCCUGAUGCAGCAACGCCGCGUGCGGGAUGACGGCCUUCGGGUUGUAAACCGCUUUCGCCUGUGACGAAGCGUGAGUGACGGUAAUGGGUAAAGAAGCACCGGCUAACUACGUG
rnacentral:rRNA from 1 species